rnacentral:rRNA from 1 species
GGUUAAGCGACUAAGCGUACACGGUGGAUGCCCUGGCAGUCAGAGGCGAUGAAGGGCGUGCUAAUCUGCGAUAAGCGCCGGUAAGGUGAUAUGAACCGUUAUAACCGGCGAUACCCGAAUGGGGAAACCCAGUGUGAUUCGUCACACUAUCAUUAACUGAAUCCAUAGGUUAAUGAGGCGAACCGGGGGAACUGAAACAUCUAAGUACCCCGAGGAAAAGAAAUCAACCGAGAUUCCCCCAGUAGCGGCGAGCGAACGGGGAGGAGCCCAGAGCCUGAAUCAGCAUGUGUGUUAGUGGAAGCGUCUGGAAAGGCGCGCGAUACAGGGUGACAGCCCCGUACACAAAAGCGCAUGUGCUGUGAGCUCGAUGAGUAGGGCGGGACACGUGGUAUCCUGUCUGAAUAUGGGGGGACCAUCCUCCAAGGCUAAAUACUCCUGACUGACCGAUAGUGAACCAGUACCGUGAGGGAAAGGCGAAAAGAACCCCGGCGAGGGGAGUGAAAAAGAACCUGAAACCGUGUACGUACAAGCAGUGGGAGCACAGGUUUACCUGUGUGACUGCGUACCUUUUGUAUAAUGGGUCAGCGACUUAUAUUCUGUAGCAAGGUUAACCGUAUAGGGGAGCCGGAGGGAAACCGAGUCUUAACCGGGCGUUAAGUUGCAGGGUAUAGACCCGAAACCCGGUGAUCUAGCCAUGGGCAGGUUGAAGGUUGGGUAACACUAACUGGAGGACCGAACCGACUAAUGUUGAAAAAUUAGCGGAUGACCUGUGGCUGGGGGUGAAAGGCCAAUCAAACCGGGAGAUAGCUGGUUCUCCCCGAAAGCUAUUUAGGUAGCGCCUCGUGAAUUCAUCUCCGGGGGUAGAGCACUGUUUCGGCUAGGGGGCCAUCCCGGCUUACCAACCCGAUGCAAACUGCGAAUACCGGAGAAUGUUAUCACGGGAGACACACGGCGGGUGCUAACGUCCGUCGUGAAGAGGGAAACAACCCAGACCGCCAGCUAAGGUCCCAAAGUCAUGGUUAAGUGGGAAACGAUGUGGGAAGGCCCAGACAGCCAGGAUGUUGGCUUAGAAGCAGCCAUCAUUUAAAGAAAGCGUAAUAGCUCACUGGUCGAGUCGGCCUGCGCGGAAGAUGUAACGGGGCUAAACCAUGCACCGAAG